GACGUAGGGGGCGAGCGUUGUCCGGAUUUAUUGGGCGUAAAGAGCUCGUAGGCGGCUCAGAAAGUCGGGUGUGAAACCUCCAGGCUCAACCUGGAGACGCCACCUGAUACUGCUGUGGCUAGAGUCCGGUAGGGGAACACGGAAUUCCCGGUGUAGCGGUGAAAUGCUUAGAUAUCGGGAGGAACACCAGUGGCGAAGGCGGUGUUCUGGGCCGGAACUGACGCUGAGGAGCGAAAGCGUGGGUAGCGAACAGG
rnacentral:rRNA from 1 species